GGAAGUCGACUUUCCUUACGAGGACGGUCGAGGCCUGCCGGGAUACCCCAGGACGGCCGGAUCGGCGCUGGGCGUGGCUUCUGACGCCCGCGGCACGCCGGGAAGGAGUUACUUCCAGACGCGGGUUCCGGUUCCGUUGGCGGUGGCCGAUUGUUAAGGUAACGCGGCCGGUAGUUCUGCGAUGGCAAGGAGCGGAGAAGUGACGGGCCUUCGCGCCUCACCAGCGGAGCUGAGCCUCGAACCUGGCGUGUCCGGCCCUGCUCGAGACUCCGAUCUCGAACUCGGCUUCAUGUCCAGGCCAGCCUGGGCUCCAGCCUCGGACCCGCCGUGCACGUGGACGGCCAAGCCGUGCCUGUUUCGCGUGGAAUUCCUUCUCUAGAAUGAUUUUUAGCAUAAAAAUCUAAUUAUUAUGUGUACGUAUGAUGUAGUGCAUGCACCUGCCACAGCGUGGGCGAGUCGGGUCCCUACUUUGCCUUUUACGAGGGGUCCAGGGACGAGAACUCGGGCUUGCCGGACACUGUGAUCCCAGGCUGCAAACAAGAACAUAGACAAGAAAUGCUGGAAGGCGCAGCUGCUCCGAAAGUCAGUCUGUGCCCUCGGCAGCAGAGAGUCUGUUAAAUUGCAUCCAGAAUUGGCAAGCUUUUAUUCAUGCUUGCAUUGCCGUAAGUAGUUGUACUUUAAAAGAUGAAAUAAAGACUGGCAGAUGUGCUCAUGG